ensembl:lncRNA
GGUAGUAGGGGUGAUGGUAGUAGUGGUACGGGUAGUAGGGGUGAUGGUAGUAGGGGUGAUGGUAGUAGUGGUAUGGGUAGUAGGGGUGAUGGUAGUAGGGGUGAUGGUAGUAGUGGUAUGGGUAGUAGGGGUGAUGGUAGUAGGGGUAUGGGUAGUAGGGGUGAUGGUAGUAGGGGUGAUGGUAGUAGUGGUACGGGUAGUAGGGGUAUGGGUAGUAGGGGUAUGGGUAGUAGGGGUGAUGGUAGUAGGGGUGAGUAUAGUAGUGGUACGGGUAGUAGGGGUGAGUAGUGGUACGGGUAGUAGGGGUAUGGGUAGUAGGGGUGAGUAGUGGUACGGGUAGUAGGGGUGAUGGUAGUAGGGGUGAUGGUAGUAGGGGUGAUGGUAGUAGGGGUGAUGGUAGUAGUGGUACGGGUAGUAGGGGUGAGUAGUGGUACGGGUAGUAGGGGUAUGGGUAGUAGGGGUGAGUAGUGGUACGGGUAGUAGGGGUGAUGGUAGUAGGGGUGAUGGUAGUAUUGGUACGGGUAGUAGGGGUGAUGGUAGUAGGGGUGAUGGUAGUAGGGGUACGGGUAGUAGGGGUGAUGGUAGUAGUGGUGAUGGUAGUAGGGGUACGGGUAGUAGGGGUGAUGAUAGUAGUGGUAUGGGUAGUAGGGGUGAUGGUAGUAGGGGUGAUGAUAGUAGGGGUAUG